CCAGCUCCAAUAGCGUAUAUUAAAGUUGUUGCAGUUAAAAAGCUCGUAGUUGGAUUUCAAGGAUAGCGGAUGUGCAAACAUUUUGCUUCCUACCAGUCUUUGACUGUUACUGUGAGAAAAUUAGAGUGUUUCAAGCAGGCUGUUGCAGGAAUACAUUAGCAUGGAAUAACGAAUGGGUCUAGAAUCUUGGUUAAUUCUAGAUUACGAUUAAUAGGGACAGUUGGGGGCAUUAGUAUUUAAUUGUCAGAGGUGAAAUUCUUGGAUUUGUUAAAGACUAACGUAUGCGAAAGCAUUUGCCAAGGAUGUUUUCA
rnacentral:rRNA from 1 species